rnacentral:rRNA from 1 species
AACGAACGCUGGCGGCAGGCUUAACACAUGCAAGUCGAACGCCCCGCAAGGGGAGUGGCAGACGGGUGAGUAACGCGUGGGAACGUGCCCUUCGCUUCGGAAUAGCCCCGGGAAACUGGGAGUAAUACCGGAUACGCCGUAUUGGGAAAGAUUUAUCGGCGAAGGAUCGGCCCGCGUUAGAUUAGGUAGUUGGCGGUGUAAUGGACCACCAAGCCUACGAUCUAUAGCUGGUCUGAGAGGAUGAUCAGCCACACUGGGACUGAGACACGGCCCAGACUCCUACGGGAGGCAGCAGUGGGGAAUCUUGGACAAUGGGCGCAAGCCUGAUCCAGCCAUGCCGCGUGAGUGAAGAAGGCCUUAGGGUUGUAAAACUCUUUCGCCGGAGAAGAUAAUGACGGUAUCCGGAGAAGAAGCCCCGGCUAACUUCGUGCCAGCAGCCGCCGUAAUAC